CGGGAAGAGCUCAAAUUUAAAAUCUGGCAGCCUUGUGUUGUCCGAGUUGUAGUCUAGAGAAGCAUCAUCCGUGCUGGACCAUGUACAAGUCUCUUGGAACAGAGCGUCAUAGAGGGUGAGAAUCCCG
rnacentral:rRNA from 1 species